rnacentral:lncRNA from 1 species
UAAUAUUGUGUGAUAAUUAUUUUCUUUUAAAGCAUCAAAAUUUUGAAGAACAAAUGCAGGGCAUGAAGACGCAGUUAAUCCAGUUGAGUACCUUACUCAGGUUACUGGACAGUGGAUUUUGUAGCUAUUUAGAAUCCCAGGACUCUGGAUAUCUAUAUUUUUGCUUCAGAUGGCUUUUAAUCAGAUUUAAAAGGGAAUUUAGUUUUCUAGAUAUACUUCGAUUAUGGGAGGUAAGUUGUUACGUUUAUUAUGGAAAGAAACAGUUUAUUCUGUGUAGACUUGUGUGUUCUCAUAGCUUCGCAGCAAUGUCUAAGGCGGGUGAGCCUGAAACUGUGACAGGAGGAAUGUUACAUUCUUCUGUAAGAGCUGAUAGCUCUAGGUGCAACUCUUGGUGUUUUAGACUCUUCUUCAAGAACAGCAUCGUGAGACCGGGGCCCAGAGCUAUCUCAGGAAAGAAGUGUUUUAAAUCAUUUGUUACCUGUACCCUUUACUCGGUAGAUUUGACUUUAUUAUAUUUUAUUUUUAAGUGUAUAUUCUUUGAGAGUUUUUGUUCUAAUUAAUUAAUUUCAUGUGGUCCUGACUGCGUUUUCGCUUCCCUCCUGUUCGCCCAGUCCUCUGCUCCCUGUCCAUACCUCUUCCCCCUCUCAGAAGGGGGAGGCCUUCCUUAAAUAUAUCAAUCAGCUUUGGCAUAUCAAUUGCAGUAGGACCAGGCUCAUCUUGAGAUUAGGUGAGGCAACUCAGAGAAAGGGGUUGAAAGGGCAGGCUAUGUAGUCAGAGAUAGCCCCAGCUCCUCACGUUAGGAGUCCCACAUGAAGGCCCAGCUGCACAAUGUUACAUAUACACAGAGGGCCUACGUCAGUCCCGUGCAGGCUUCCUGGUUGGUGGUUCACUCUCUGUGAGACCCCAUGUGCCCAGGUUAGUUGAUUCUGUAGGUUUUCUUAUGGUGUCUUUAACCCCUGUGGCUCCUACAAUCCUUCUUCUUCAUGUUCUGCAGGAUUCCCCAAGCUGUGGGUCUUUGCAUCUGUUUCCAUCAAUUGCUGGGUGAAGCCUGUCUGAUGAUGAUGAUGCUAGGCUCCUGGGCAAGUGUAGCAGAAUAACACUAAUAGUAUCAGGGGUGGGCUCCCUCUAAUGGCACGGGUCUCAAGCCAUUCCUUCAAUUGGUGCUCAUAUUUACCCCCGCGCAUCUUGGAGACAGGGCUAAUUAUAGGUUGGGGUUUUUUGUUUGUUUUGUUUUGUUUUGUUUUGUUUUGUUUUUUGAGACAGGGUUUCUCUGUGUAGUCCUGGCUGUUCUGGAACUCACUCUGUAGACCAGGCUGGCCU